UACAGAGGUCCCGAGCGUUGUUCGGAUUCAUUGGGCGUAAAGGGUGCGUAGGCGGCGCGGUAAAUCGGGUGUGAAAUCUCGGGGCUUAACUCCGAAACUGCAUUCGAUACUGCCGUGCUUGAGGACUGGAGAGGAGACUGGAAUUUACGGUGUAGCGGUGAAAUGCGCAGAUAUCGGGAGGAACACCAAUGGCGAAGGCAGCUCGCUGGGACGUGACUGACGCUGAGACGCGAAAGCUAGGGGAGCGAACAGG
rnacentral:rRNA from 1 species